rnacentral:rRNA from 1 species
CCUACGGGUGGCAGCAGUCGAGAAUCAUUCACAAUGGGGGAAACCCUGAUGGUGCGAAGCCGCGUGGGGGCAUGAAGGUCUUCGGAUUGUACACCUCUGUCCUCUGUGAGGAUAUUGACGGUAGCAGAGGUGUAAGCUCCGGCUGACUACGUGCAAGCAGCCGCGGUACAACGUAGGGAGCAGGCGUUGUCCGGAUUUAUUGGGUGUAAAGGGUGCGUAGGCGGGCUUGCAAGUCAGAAGUGAAAACUAUGGGCUUGACCCAUAAACUGCUUUUGAAACUGGAAGUCUUGAGUGAAGUAGAGGUAGGCGGAAUUCCCGGUGUAGCGGUGAAAUGCGUAGAGAUCGGGAGGAACACCAGUGGCGAAGGCGGCCUACUGGGCUUUAACUGACGCUGAGGCACGAAAGCGUGGGUAGCAAACAGGAUUAGAUACCCCGGUAGUC